ACUGCUCAGUAACACGUGGAUAACCUACCCAAGAGUCCGGGAUAACCCCGGGAAACUGGGGAUAAUACCGGAUAGGUCAAACUUGCUGGAAGGCUGUUUGGUUGAAACCUCCGGGGCUUUUGGAUGGGUCUGCGGCUGAUUAGGUUGUUGCCGGUGUAACGUACCGUCAAGCCUGUAAUCAGUACGGGUUGUGGGAGCAAGAGCCCGGAGAUGGAUUCUGAGACACGAAUCCAGGCCCUACGGGGCGCAGCAGGCGCGAAAACUCUACAAUGCAGGCAACUGCGAUAGGGGAACAUCGAGUGGCGUCCAUAUUGGAUGUCUGUCCUCCCGCCUAAAAAGCGGGAGUUAGCAAGGGCCGGGCAAGACCGGUGCCAGCCGCCGCGGUAAUACCGGCGGCUCGAGUGGUGGCCGAUAUUAUUGAGUCUAAAGGGUCCGUAGCCGGCUUUGCAAGUCUCUCGGGAAAUCCAGCGGCUUAACCGUUGGUCGUCCGGGGGGUACUACAUUGCUUGGGACUGGGAGAGGUAGGAGGUACUCAGGGGGUAGGAGUGAAAUCCUGUAAUCCUUUGGGGACCACCGGUGGCGAAGGCGUCCUACCAGAACAGGUCCGACGGUGAGGGGCGAAAGCUAGGGGCACGAACCGGAUUAGAUACCCGGGUAGUCCUAGCCGUAAACGAUGCUCGCUAGGUGUCACAACAGUCGUGAACUGUUGUGGUGCCGUAGGGAAGCCGUGAAGCGAGCCACUUGGGAAGUACGACCGCAAGGUUGAAACUUAAAGGAAUUGGCGGGGGAGCAC
rnacentral:rRNA from 1 species